GUGGCGAGCGAACGCGGAAGAGGCCAAACCCAUGGGCGUGCCCAUGGGGGUUGUAGGACUGCGAUGUGGACAAUAAUUGUUUAGUUGAAAGCCAUGGAAAGGGCUACCGCAGGGGGUGAAAGUCCCGUAAGCGAAAGGCAAUUAUUACCUAGCAGUAUCCUGAGUAGGGCGGAGCCGGUGAAACUCUGUCUGAAUCUACCAGCACCAUCUGGUAAGCCUAAAUACUACCGGGAGACCGAUAGCGAACCAGUACCGUAAGGGAAAGGUGAAAAGAACCCUAAGAAAGGGAGUGAAAAGACUCUGAAACCAUACGCCUACAAGCGGUCGGAGCCUUAGUGUAUGCCUUUGGGCAUAUGCGGGUGACGGCGUGCCUUUUGCAUAAUGAGCCUACGAGUUAUUCCUCAUUGGCAGCCUAAGUACUUCAGGUACGGAAGCACAGCGAAAGCGAGUCUUAACAGGGCGACCAAAUUGUCAGUGGGGAUAGACGCGAAACCGAGUGAUCUAUCCAUGG
rnacentral:rRNA from 1 species